rnacentral:rRNA from 1 species
CCUACGGGGGGCAGCAGUGAGGAAUAUUGGUCAAUGGACGAGAGUCUGAACCAGCCAAGUAGCGUGAAGGAUGACUGCCCUAUGGGUUGUAAACUUCUUUUAUAAAGGAAUAAAACGAGGCACGUGUGCCUUUUUGCAUGUACUUUAUGAAUAAGCAUCGGCUAACUCCGUGCCAGCAGCCGCGGUAAUACGGAGGAUCCGAGCGUUAUCCGGAUUUAUUGGGUUUAAAGGGAGCGUAGAUGGGUUGUUAAGUCAGUUGUGAAAGUUUGCGGCUCAACCGUAAAAUUGCAAUUGAUACUGGCAGUCGUGAGUACAGUUGAGGUAGGCGGAAUUCGUGGUGUAGCGGUGAAAUGCUUAGAUAUCACGAAGAACCCCGAGUGCGAAGGCAGCUUACUAAACUGUGACUGACAUUGAUGCUCGAAAGUGUGGGUAUCAAACAGGAUUAGAUACCCCAGUAGUC